rnacentral:rRNA from 1 species
UACGUAGGGGGCGAGCGUUGUCCGGAAUCAUUGGGCGUAAAGAGCUCGUAGGCGGUUCAGCAAGUCGGCUGUGAAAUUCCGAGGCUCAACCUCGGAACUGCAGUCGAUACUGCUGUGACUCGAGUCCGGUAGAGGAGAAUGGAAUUCCCGGUGUAGCGGUGAAAUGCGCAGAUAUCGGGAGGAACACCAGUAGCGAAGGCGGUUCUCUGGGCCGGUACUGACGCUGAGGUGCGAAAGCGUGGGGAGCAAACAGG